UCUCAGAUUUGUUCUUUUUUGAUGGAAUAAAAGGUGGACUGUCGUCAUUUUAUUUCUUUAUACAGAUAUGCAUGUAUUGAAGAAUUAAGAAAUUACCAUCUUCCAUCAUUAUCUAAACUUAAAAAAAAACCAACUCUGUAUAACUGAUCAUGAGGUGCAAAAGUGAGUUCACCGUAUAUUUUUCAGUUAAGCCAUUCCCAGCUGAAAAUCAUUUAGAAAUUUUCUUGAGUGAUUGAAAGACAAAAAGUAACAUGUGUACCCAUAUGUUGGCAAGGAUACUAAGAACCCAGGCUACAGUGAACAUGGCAGGUCCUUCAUUGUAUCCUUAUGUUGGCAAGGAUACUAAGAACCCAGGCUACAGUGAACAUGGCAGGUCCUUCAUUGUAUCCUUAUGUUGGCAAGGAUACUAAGAACCCAGGCUACAGUGAACAUGGCAGGUCCUUCAUUGUAUCCUUAUGUUGGCAAGGAUACUAAGAACCCAGGCUACAGUGAACAUGGCAGGUCCUUCAUUGUAUCCUUAUGUUGGCAAGGAUACUAAGAACCCAGGCUACAGUGAACAUGGCAGGUCCUUCAUUGUAUCCUUAUGUUGGCAAGGAUACUAAGAACCCAGGCUACAGUGAACAUGGCAGGUCCUUCAUUGUAUCCUUAUGUUGGCAAGGAUACUAAGAACCCAGGCUACAGUGAACAUGGCAGGUCCUUCAUUGUAUCCUUAUGUUGGCAAGGAUACUAAGAACCCAGGCUACAGUGAACAUGGCAGGUCCUUCAUUGUAUCCUUAUGUUGGCAAGGAUACUAAGAACCCAGGCUACAGUGAACAUGGCAGGUCCUUCAUUGUAUCCUUAUGUUGGCAAGGAUACUAAGAACCCAGGCUACAGUGAACAUGGCAGGUCCUUCAUUGUAUCCUUAUGUUGAUCUAUAUGAUUUGUACAAUUAUAGGAAUUCAGGCUACGGUGUACAUGUAUAUGACAGGUCCUUCCUUUAUACCCAUAUGUUGGCAAGGAUAAAGGACCCCUUCCUACAAUGUACAUGUAUAAGGAGGUCCUUUGUGUACACCCAUAUGUUCAUUGUCAAAGAUAGGAACCCUUGCUACAAUGUACAUGUAUAAGGCAAGUCCUUUGUGUAAGUACACCAAUAUAGUGCCAAAGAUAGGAACCCAAGCUACAUUUUACAUGUAUUAGGCAGGUCCUUUGUUUAUAUCCAUAUGCUGCCCAAGAUAGGAUUAUGAAAUCAGAUUAUAUUGUAAGUCUGUCCCUGAACUAAAUACUUAUUGCCAAGGAAGGAAAUUCAAACUACAUUUCAAAGUGAUUAAAGAAGAGGUUCCUUUUACCAGUGUUUUUCCCAGUCUGCCUUUUAGCGUCAUGUUAAUGUCUGAAAGGAUUUUCUUAUAGAUUGUGUAGUAUGUGUGAUGCUAUAGUUCUAGAAGAAAGAUAGAUGGUAUUUCAGAAUUCCCUGUUUACCAAGAUGCUAUAUUAAAUUUGUGAGAAGAACACUGGUUUUACAAAUUUAAUGGAUUUACAAUUUUCAAUGGAUUUACACCUUUCAAUGGAUUUACACCUUUCAAUGGAUUUAUGUCUAUGCAACAGCAAUCCUCUUAACAACACCAUAGAAAAUAAAAAAAAAAAAACCAAAAAAAAA